rnacentral:rRNA from 1 species
AGUCAGCAUGCUCCUUAUGCCCUGGGCUACACACACCCUACAAUGGCGAAGAACAAUGGGUUGCAAGCUAGUAAUGGCAAGCUAAUCCCUGAAAUUUCGCCUCAGUUCAGAUUGAGGGCUGCAACUCGCCCUCAUGAAGUCGGAAUCGGUAGUAAUCGCGAAUCAGCAGGUCGCGGUGAAUACGUUCUCGGGUCUUGUACACACCGCCCGUCAAGGCAGCAAAGUCGGUAGCUAUCGAAUAUUGUCUUUAUGGCGAUAGAGAUAGAGAUUGGCGAUGAAGCUUAAGUCGUAACAAGGUAUCCCUAGCCGAAGCUGGGGAUGGAUCACCUCCUUU